rnacentral:tRNA from 1 species
GGCUUGGUGGCUCAGUUGGUUGAGCAUCUGACUUUAGCUCAGGUCAUGAUCUCGAGUUUCCUGAGUUU